rnacentral:rRNA from 1 species
AGCGAACGCUGGCGGCGUGCCUAACACAUGCAAGUCGAACGUGAAAAGGGAAACCUGAGUAAAGUGGCGUACGGGUGAGUAACGCGUAGGUAAUCUACCCCAGAAUCUGGAAUAACCUGCCGAAAGGCGGGCUAAUACUGGAUAGAGCGAGGGAACUCGUAAGAGAGUUUUUCGGGAAAGGGAGCCCGCAAGGGCCUUCGUUCUGGGAUGAGCCUGCGUCUCAUUGGCUAGUUGGUAAGGUAACGGCGUACCAAGGCGAUGAUGAGUAGCUGGUCUGAGAGGAUGGUCAGCCGAACUGGAACUGAAACCCGGUCCAGACUCCUACGGGAGGCAGCAGUGGGGAAUCUGGCGCAAGGGACGAGAGUCUGACGCAGCCACGCCGCGGGAGUGAAGAAGGCCUUCGGGUUGUAAAGCUCUGUCGGAUGGGACGAACAUCUUCAUAGUGAAUAGCUAUGAGGACUGACGGUACCAUCAAAGGAAGCACCGGCUAACUCCGUG